AGGAGGGGGCCUGCUUUUUUCCACGCUUUCAGACCACAACAGAUUUCUGCUGGUGAUUUCUCAGCGGGAAUUAUUCUCUAACUCACGGCUUCAGCUUGAGGCCCCAGCAGUGCCCCAUCACUACCCAAGGGGGCUUGGUGGGGCUGGGGGUGCCCCCCACGGACCCCUGGCCCCGCAGCGAGCAGGCGCCGGCUCUUUCUGGAGGUUUCUGGAGAGGCACGGGAUCCUCUGGAUGUGCGGGGUCAGACAGUGGUGACUCAGUCCUGUCCCGUGACAGCUUCCUUUCUCCUCCAGCCCAGCGGAAACGCUGCUCGGCUGCUUCUGUGCUGCUUCCAGACGAUGCCAGAGGCCCCGGCGCUGCUGCAGGGUGCUCGGGGCACCCAGCCCUGGAACAGCUCCUGCCUGAGCCAAGCUGGGCUGCGAGGGUUGGUCACACUCACUGUGUGUUCAGCCAUCUCCUGCUGCUGUGCAAGGGUCAUAAUCAGAAACAUUUCUCUGGAAAACGCGAUGCAGAAGUCCUCCUUUCUCUACAGUGUGGGCGGAAGGGAAAGCGACGCUGGGUUUUUGCUGUCUCAUUUUCGAGGCUAGGUUUUCCUGAAGGGCAGAAGACGCUGGCACUGGGAGGAGCAGAUAGGAAAAAUGAGCAGAUAGCAGGCACAAAGUAGAAGCAUGCAACCUGUGUUGUGCAACUACGUCAGGAUUUCGUGUUUACACAGGCCUCGGGACCUGUGGAUGGCUUGCAGCAGACAGCCCUAGCUUCUGCAGUGCGCUCAGUGCUGCCAACAUCAACUGGUCAAAGAUCAUGAGAUCACCUGAAAAAACAGGUUCUCUCUGUCUAUUUGCUUUUUGGGGUUUACAGUCUUUGCAGUUCGCAAUUUAAACUUUGCUCUGCAAAAGCACCCAGAAGGUUCAAAACUUACCCAUUUUUUUAACAGAAUAAAAGCAAAACCGACAUGGGGGAGGGCCUUUAAAAGUCAACGUGAACUUUGCCGCACUGAUACAACCAGGCUGACAGUUUUGCUCAGUCCCUUGUUUCUUCCAAGAGAGCCCAAGGUUUUUGUCAUACAAUGGUGGCAUAAAGCUCAGUCAUUUCUUCAGACUUUUAUGAAGACAAAGUAUAGUAGCAGAAAUUAGAUUAAGCUUUAUUCUUGGGGAGAAGCCUAAUUAAUUUCCUUGCGGAAAUUAUUAACGUUAUUCUUUCCUGCUGCAUAUGCACUACCUAUCCCAUGCAGUAGGAGCAUUUUGCACAGAUGAAAAGAGGCACUCAGCGUCAUAACGUGCCACGGCACUUGACUAAACUCAGAUGGCUGUAGGAUUUCAUGUGCCUUUCCCACGAGAGCUAUUAUGCACCUGCUGCCCCUGCAGUUCCCCCGUUAAUUGCCGCAAACCCCUCGCGGGCUGUGGGGUUUUGCACAUGGCUUUAGGGUGAGCAAGCAGAGCGGCUGGGGGUCGCUUUUUCUAGCGCUGAAAAUGCAGGUGCUGCUGCUCUCCCUGGAGCUGAGCAAAACCCCACAUCCUUGGGUGCCCCAGCCCCGCUCCAUCAAUGCUGGGUGCUCCCGGAGCGCUCCCCCUGCCGGCUCCUCCUGCCAGAGGCUCGCUGCCAUUUCAAGGUUUGAAAAUGGGAUUUAUUGGACAAAUUGGACAAGCGGCUAAGGAUGCGGGGCCUUGCCCCAUGUGCACAGGUUGCUGCCACCACAGCGAUACCCUGGCACGGGGACAGACCCCGAGCAUCACCCGUGCUGCUGCGCUUGGCACGUGCAGUCCUUGCUUUGCAUCGCUGUCUGAUCACUCCAAACACUUCAAGCAGCAGACUUUGAUCGCUGGAAGGCAGUCCCACGGCACCUGCACGAUUUUUAAUGGCUGAGAGAGCUGCGGGGAGUGAAGCAGGACGGCUGCAGCCACGCACCUGCCUGCCUGUGACCACGGACAGCAGAGCAGGGGCAGGUUUGGGUGGCGGAGGGGUGCACGCUCAGCACUUCGAGCCCAGCCUCACCGUACAGCUCUCGCUGCCCACAAUGAAAUAAAGCAGCACCCAAAGCACCCAAAGCACCGUUUACAUCCGAUUCCCCCUGCCCUUCACCCCGACCAGCAGCUUAAGGCCAUAAUUACCAAAACCCAAGCCUUUUGGAAGACAGAUGCCAGCCUACGAGGCCACAGCAUCCAGCCAACACUCCCCUGGCAUCGGCUGGCUCUCAGGCUGGAGGCGGGGGGCUCCUGUGGGACCCCAACCCGGGACCCCCAGCCUGAGACCCCCAUCCUGGGAUUGGGCCCGGUGCCCGCACCCCCCCCCCUGCCUCCUGCAUCCCGCAUCCUGCCCAAGGGGGGCCAAGCGCCCACCCGC